rnacentral:rRNA from 1 species
UCGAGAAUCUUCCGCAAUGGGCGCAAGCCUGACGGAGCGACGCCGCGUGCGGGAUGAAGGCCUUCGGGUUGUAAACCGCUGUCAGUGGGGAGCAAAUCCAAAGGGGCUAUCCCCUUUGGUUGAGCGAUCCGCAGAGGAAGCGCAGGCUAAGUUCGUGCCAGCAGCCGCGGUAACACGAACUGCGCGAACGUUAUUCGGAAUCACUGGGCUUAAAGAGUCCGUAGGCGGCCUGGCAGGUGGGGUGUGAAAGCCCACGGCUCAACCGUGGAAUUGCGCUCCAAACCGCCCGGCUUGAGGGAGAUAGAGGUGAGCGGAACUGAUGGUGGAGCGGUGAAAUGCGUUGAUAUCAUCAGGAACACCGGUGGCGAAAGCGGCUCACUGGGUCUCCUCUGACGCUGAGGGACGAAAGCUAGGGGAGCGAACGGGAUUAGAUACCCCCGUAGUCC